rnacentral:rRNA from 1 species
AUACGGAGGGUGCAAGCGUUAAUCGGAAUUACUGGGCGUAAAGCGCGCGUAGGCGGUUUAGUAAGUCGGAUGUGAAAGCCCUGGGCUCAACCUGGGAAUUGCAUUCGAUACUGCUUGACUAGAGUAUGGUAGAGGGAAGUGGAAUUUCCGGUGUAGCGGUGAAAUGCGUAGAUAUCGGAAGGAACACCAGUGGCGAAGGCGGCUUCCUGGAUCAAUACUGACGCUGAGGUGCGAAAGCGUGGGGAGCAAACAGGAUUAGAAACCCCGGUAGUCC